UACGAAGGGGGCUAGCGUUGCUCGGAAUCACUGGGCGUAAAGCGCACGUAGGCGGAUUGUUAAGUCAGGGGUGAAAUCCUGGAGCUCAACUCCAGAACUGCCUUUGAUACUGGCGAUCUUGAGUCCGGGAGAGGUGAGUGGAACUGCGAGUGUAGAGGUGAAAUUCGUAGAUAUUCGCAAGAACACCAGUGGCGAAGGCGGCUUUCUGGGCCUUACCUGACGCUGAGACGCGAAAGCGUGGGGAGCGAACCGG
rnacentral:rRNA from 1 species